ACUCAACGUUAAUUCUUUAAAAAGGGUGAGUUUAAGUUGUAAAAGCAGGCUGCCGUACCUAGUACUUAGCAGAUCCUUGAUCAGCUUGUUAGCCCUAAACUUGUUUUUAAGGAGUUU
rnacentral:sRNA from 1 species